rnacentral:lncRNA from 10 species
CUGGGGCAGAUCUUCCUCUUGGUUCUCACACUUUUUUCAUGGUACCAAUUUUUUAAAUGUGUAAAUUUCACUUGAAAAUUGGGAUGAGUGGGUUGUCUUGAAAAGAAAUAAAAUCUGGUCACACUGAACCCACAUUUCUGCAUGAUCAACCUCAGCAGAAGCUGGGACAUGUGAACUCCAACUGCCUAAGUCCCCACCAGGCUCUAUUGUCUUUCCAUGCCUGCCAGACUGCUUGACUCAGUUAAGAUGCUGGAAUGACUCCUAAAGGCAUACUGUGAACAAGAUGCCACCCCCAAAUGAUGUAGUCAAUGUUUCAUGAAGCCAUCAGUUUCUUCAUCAGAGUACUGAAAAUUCUUACCCAGUCCAGUGAUGUAUUCUUUAUCAGAAACCUAUACUCAAGAGUACUUUAGAGUCUUUUUCAUGAAUCUUCCUGAAGAAGCAAGUUUGGACUAUAGCUGAUUAAAAGUGCUUUUAGAGAAGAAGGAAAACAAUAACCAUCUAUGAAUGACAAAGAAUGGCCAUGUAUGACAAAGAAUGGCCAUCUAUGAAUGACAAAGAAUGGCCAUGUAUAAAAUCAGAAAUCCAGGGCUCUUCAAACCUGCAUUGAAACCGAAAGAACCUUUUUAGUCCACCAAAAAGAACUGCGUAUUACCACCUUCAUUCAAUGCAAGAGCCAGCUGAGGUGAAGUCGCCAGAGGCCAAGGACAGAAGCCGGGAGUAAAGCAUCACCACACAGCCUUCAAUCACCAACGGUUUUGAAUUGUUUGAUCAGGCCAUUUCUUAUGGCCUUUUCAUCUAUCAUUUUUAUGCCUCUCUGUUUCUUUUUUCAAGAUUUUGUUUUUGUGUAAUGUUGCUGGGUGUUCUGUCCUCGAUUUCCUUGUCACACAAGUGAAGGAAG